UCACUGCACUUGAAACCCAGAUGUCCUUUAC
rnacentral:piRNA from 1 species